rnacentral:rRNA from 1 species
GAUGAACGCUAGCGGCAGGCCUAAUACAUGCAAGUCGAACGGUGAUAGCAAUAUCAUAGUGGCGCACGGGUGCGUAACACGUAUGCAACCUACCUAUUAUUGGGGGAUAGCCUUUGGAAACGGAGAUUAAUACCGCAUAAUACGAUUGACUGGCAUCGGUUGAUUGUUAAAGCUUUGGCGAUAAUAGAUGGGCAUGCGUCCAAUUAGUUAGUUGGUUAGGUAACGGCUGACCAAGACGAUGAUUGGUAGGGGAUCUGAGAGGAUAAUCCCCCACACUGGCACUGAGAUACGGGCCAGACUCCUACGGGAGGCAGCAGUAGGGAAUAUUGGGCAAUGGGCGGAAGCCUGACCCAGCCAUGCCGCGUGCAGGAAGAAGGCGUUAUGC